GAUGAACGCUGGCGGCGUGCCUAAUACAUGCAAGUCGAGCGAAUGGAUUAAGAGCUUGCUCUUAUGAAGUUAGCGGCGGACGGGUGAGUAACACGUGGGUAACCUGCCCAUAAGACUGGGAUAACUCCGGGAAACCGGGGCUAAUACCGGAUAACAUUUUGAACCGCAUGGUUCAAAAUUGAAAGGCGGCUUCGGCUGUCACUUAUGGAUGGACCCGCGUCGCAUUAGCUAGCUGGUGAGGUAACGGCUCACCAAGGCAACGAUGCGUAGCCGACCUGAGAGGGUGAUCGGCCACACUGGGACUGAGACACGGCCCAGACUCCUACGGGAGGCAGCAGUAGGGAAUCUUCCGCAAUGGACGAAAGUCUGACGGAGCAACGCCGCGUGAGUGAUGAAGGCUUUCGGGUCGUAAAACUCUGUUGUUAGGGAAGAACAAGUGCUAGUUGAAUAAGCUGGCACCUUGACGGUACCUAACCAGAAAGCCACGGCUAACUACGUGCCAGCCGCCGCCGUAA
rnacentral:rRNA from 1 species